GAUGAACGCUGGCGGCGUGCCUAAUACAUGCAAGUCGAGCGAACAGACGAGGAGCUUGCUCCUCUGACGUUAGCGGCGGACGGGUGAGUAACACGUGGAUAACCUACCUAUAAGACUGGGAUAACUUCGGGAAACCGGAGCUAAUACCGGAUAAUAUAUUGAACCGCAUGGUUCAAUAGUGAAAGACGGUUUUGCUGUCACUUAUAGAUGGAUCCGCGCCGCAUUAGCUAGUUGGUAAGGUAACGGCUUACCAAGGCAACGAUGCGUAGCCGACCUGAGAGGGUGAUCGGCCACACUGGAACUGAGACACGGUCCAGACUCCUACGGGAGGCAGCAGUAGGGAAUCUUCCGCAAUGGGCGAAAGCCUGACGGAGCAACGCCGCGUGAGUGAUGAAAGUCUUCGGAUCGUAAAACUCUGUUAUCAGGGAAGAACAAAUGUGUAAGUAACUAUGCACGUCUUGACGGUACCUAAUCAGAAAGCCACGGCUAACUACGUG
rnacentral:rRNA from 1 species